CAGUAUAAAAAAAUGUUUACAAAUAUCUUAACUUGCAACGUGUGACAGGCAACACAUCAGUGUUGUCUAUGUUUAAUCGAGAAAUGCAUUCAGAACAUUUUAUGAAGUAUUGGUAGGCUGUACCUGACGUCUUACUUUCUUGCAA